GUGAGUCCUUUAAUGAAAGUGGUAGGAUUUUGGUGAGAUCCUCUCACAAAACCAAUUCCACUUCUAUUUGCGACGUGACCCUUAUUUGCAAGGAUCAUGUCCAAUCCCUUGCUACCGACCUUAAACUUGUUUAAGGUCUCUUUAAGUAGCAAAUUCUCAUUUUUUAUUGCUUCUAAGUAUUCACACUUAGAGCAUGGAGGAG
rnacentral:lncRNA from 1 species